rnacentral:rRNA from 1 species
GACGUAGGGCGCGAGCGUUGUCCGGAUUUAUUGGGCGUAAAGAGCUCGUAGGCGGCUCGUUGCGUCAGCUGUGAAAACCCGCAGCUCAACUGUGGGCUUGCAGCUGAUACGGGCGGGCUAGAAUUCGGUAGGGGAGACUGGAGUUCCUGGUGUAGCGGUGAAAUGCGCAGAUAUCAGGAGGAACACCGGUGGCGAAGGCGGGUCUCUGGGCCGAUAUUGACGCUGAGGAGCGAAAGCGUGGGGAGCGAACAGG